rnacentral:tRNA from 1 species
GUUUUAAUAAUUUAAUAUAAAAUAUUGAUCUUGUAAAUCAAAAAUAAAUAACUUUUUAAAACU